CUUCCAGAGUAUCAAUUGGAGGGCAAGUCUGGUGCCAGCAGCCGCGGUAAUUCCAGCUCCAAUAGCGUAUAUUAAAAUUGUUGCAGUUAAAAAGCUCGUAGUUGAAUUUCUGCUGCAUUGCUUUUGCUCCUUUACGAGUCUUUGCAUUGUGGCUUAUUUCGGACUUUGUUUUACAAUGUCCGGAUGUUUACUUUGAGAAAAUUAGAGUGCUCAAAGCAGGCUUUCGCCUUGAAUAGUUUAGCAUGGAAUAAUAAAGUAGGACUUUGGUUCUAUUUUGUUGGUUUUAGGUACCAAAGUAAUGGUUAAUAGGAACAGUUGGGGGCAUUCGUAUUUAACUGUCAGAGGUGAAAUUCUUAGAUUUGUUAAAGACGAACUACUGCGAAAGCAUUUGCCAAGGAUGUUUUCAUUAAUCAAGAACGAAAGUUAGGGGAUCGAAGACGAUCAGAUACCGUCGUAGUCCUA
rnacentral:rRNA from 1 species